GAUGAACGCUGGCGGCGUGCCUAAUACAUGCAAGUCGAGCGAACGGACGAGAAGCUUGCUUCUCUGAUGUUAUCGGCGGACGGGUGAGUAACACGUGGAUAACCUACCUAUAAGACUGGGAUAACUUCGGGAAACCGGAGCUAAUACCGGAUAAUAUUUUGAACCGCAUGGUUCAAAAGUGAAAGACGGUCUUGCUGUCACUUAUAGAUGGAUCCGCGCUGCAUUAGCUAGUUGGUAAGGUAACGGCUUACCAAGGCAACGAUGCAUAGCCGACCUGAGAGGGUGAUCGGCCACACUGGAACUGAGACACGGUCCAGACUCCUACGGGAGGCAGCAGUAGGGAAUCUUCCGCAAUGGGCGAAAGCCUGACGGAGCAACGCCGCGUGAGUGAUAAAGGUCUUCGGAUCGUAAAACUCUGUUAUUAGGGAAGAACAUAUGUGUAAGUAACUGUGCACAUCUUGACGGUACCUAAUCAGAAAGCCACGGCUAACUACGUG
rnacentral:rRNA from 1 species